rnacentral:sRNA from 1 species
GAAACAAUGGUGCUCAGGGACCUCCUGGACCACAGGGUGUUCAAGGUGGAAAAGGUGAACAGGGUCCCGCUGGUCCUCCAGGCUUCCAGGGUCUGCCUGGCCCCUCAGGUCCCACUGGUGAAGUUGGCAAACCAGGAGAAAGGGGUCUCCACGGUGAGUUUGGUCUCCCUGGUCCUGCUGGUCCAAGAGGGGAACGCGGUCCCCCAGGUGAGAGUGGUGCUGCCGGUCCUACUGGUCCUAUUGGAAGCCGAGGUCCUUCUGGACCCCCAGGGCCUGAUGGAAACAAGGUAAAAUCUUAUGUUUUCUAUAUUGCUGGUUUGGCCCAGUCUGCCUAGAAUAAGUAGACCCUUUACAAUAGAAAGAUAAUUGUUUUUCAGAUUUUUAUUUAUUUCCAGUUCUGUGAUGACUUCCCUCUCAGUAAACAGCAAUCCGAUUCCAGUGGACCUGAAUUAUUCUAAACAAACAAACAAUAGCAACAAACUGUGGGGGAAAAUUCAGAGUUCCCAAAACAUAAAUGAAUUAGUAUGGGUUGUCACUCUUUUCUCCUCACGCUGUUCAUGCUUUUGUUUUAAUCUAGAAACAUUGUAUAUAUUG